GAUGAAGAACGUAGCGAAAUGCAAUAAGUAGUGUGAAUUGCAGAAUUCAGUGAAUCAUCGAAUCUUUGAACGCACAUUGCGCCCUUUGGUAUUCCAAAGGGCAUGCCUGUUCGAGCGUCAUUUGUACCCUCAAGCUUUGCUUGGUGUUGGGCGUCUUGUCUCUAGCUUUGCUGGAGACUCGCCUUAAAGUAAUUGGCAGCCGGCCUACUGGUUUCGGAGCGCAGCACAAGUCGCACUCUCUAUCAGCAAAGGUCUAGCAUCCAUUAAGCCUUUUUUUCAACUUUUGACCUCGGAUCAGGUAGGGAUACCCGCUGAACUUAAGCAUAUCAAUAAGCGGAGGA
rnacentral:misc_RNA from 1 species